UCCAGGGUAGCCUAGUGGACAUGGCAUCUGCCCGGUAAGCGGAAGGUCGUGGGUUCGAUCCUCUCUAAUGGAU